UACGAAUGGGGCGAGCGUUGUUCGGAAUCACUGGGCUUAAAGCGUGCGUAGGUGGACUUACAAGUCAGGAGUGAAAUCCCUGGGCUCAUCCCUAGAAUUGCUCUUGAUACUGUCAGUAUGGAAUCACGGAGAGGUUAGCAGAAUUCCGAGUGUAGAGGUGAAAUUCGCAGAUAUUCUGAGGAAUACCAGUGGAGUAAGCGGCUAACUGGACGGGCAUUGACACUGAGGCACGAAAGCGUGGGGAGCAAACAGG
rnacentral:rRNA from 1 species